UAAAGCCCAGUCGCCAUGUAAGAACGCUGUGUGAGCUUGCUCACAUAUGCGUUCCUACAUGCGCGACGCUAACCCGUAUGAGCAAAACAGGGACCGAGCCAAAAGCGAGGGACCGAUUUGCGAAUGCGGGUAGGAUUGCGGGAAUGCGUCAGCAUGGAGCAAUCCGUGGGCUUUA
rnacentral:sRNA from 12 species